GGCACUAUGGCCGAGUGGUUAAGGCGAAAGACUCGAAUUCAAUAAUAGUUCGACAUCUUUUCUCGUUUCGAGGCGCAGGUUCGAGUCCUGCUGGUGUCG
rnacentral:tRNA from 1 species